CUCGUAUUCUCGCCUUAAAAGGAAGGCGACCAAGUCCACUGGAAGGGAAGUGGCUGGCCGAGAGAGCGCGGCAGUCGCGAUGUGGGCACCGUUGGCGCGACUUCGCACUCGGACUCUCAGGUGGUCAAUAGCCCUGGAGGAGAUCUCGGGAGGAGCGGAGGAGGGGGAGGGGAAGAGGAUCCCAAUGUGACUCACGGCGCGAGAGAGCAGAGCCGGACGGACGACGACGCGCGGCGAGCACACAACACAUCGUUUCUUCCGUCGCACCGCGCCGACAGAGACGGGCGCAUCGCGGCAGGGGGCGAGGGAGGAAGUGCGAGCGAGAGAAGAUUGAGAGGUGAAGCAAUCCUGCCCGAAACUGACCGGAGAACAAGACUGAUUGUAUCACUAUGUGUACUUUGUAGCGAGAAAUCUGUUCAGAAAAUUGCUGUGUCGUUAUUUUCGAUGAAACCCAAAAUUUAAAGAAAAAAAUAAUAAUAAAUGGAGAGAAUCGAACAUAUCAUAUUGCAAGACGGUAUCUAUAAAAGAGAAGUGAUACAUAAAAUAAAAGUUUCUAUUUUCAA